GCUGUACCCCAAGCCGAACCGGGAGCCCCCCCAGGAGCCGGGUCAGGCUUCUUGCCACAUUCAAGAUGGCGGCCGGCCCCCGGCAGAGGCGUCGGCUCCAAUUCCUGCCGCCGCAGGCGCAGCUGCAGCCCUCGUCCCCUCUCCGGGAAAGGUGGAAAAUCGUGCGGAGAGCACGGAGUUAGUCAGCAUCGGCUGGUUUUUUGUUCAGGCAACCGACUAAGACAGAUGCACUGUGAGGAUCGGGGGCCUUAACGGUGCCACAACAUGGAUGGCCGUUCAGCCAAAAGUGGCUUCAGCCACAACAAAGAUGGCAGCAAGAAAGGUCAGAAAUCAUGUGACUCCACAUACAAGAUGGCUACCUGAGCGCUGCUUGCUUGAUCUUCCAAGAUUGGCUGCCAAAAAAGGCAGGAAAAUGCAAGGACCCCGGGCAGUGCAUCUACUUGGCUGCCUGACAAACACCCCGAUGGCGCAAUUUUCCGUGGCUUUUCCAGCUGUGCGGACACGGGCUGUGCACUCAGCGGUGCUGGGGCUGGGCGCGAGCCGGCCGGGCGCUGAAAAGCACUGGUGCAGCUGCCAUCUUGGGUGUGGCUCUCGGCCUGGCCCGUCCUGUCUCCUGCCGCCGCUUCUCUCUCCUCUCUCCCCGCUGGCCUGGGGAAAUGGAGGAAAACACAAUUGCAUUGGGCUGGAAUAGUCGGCAGAGCUGCCUGACCCUUUCUCCUGCCCGCAGAGGAGAGGCUCCCUGGCGCUGGGACCAAACCAGCCGGAGGAGGCUCUCUGUGCCAGAAGAGUGAGAGGUGCGGGCAGGGGGGAGGCUUAUCGACCUAGUAUAUAACUAGACAUGAAGAUGACUACAACUGAAACAGCUGUGAUAGAACACUGAUGAACACCUGCUUGUGGACAGAAAUGAAUACAGUCUGUGACACCCGUGACUUCAUUGGGAGUUCUAUUGAGUUGUUGCAAUCUCUGCAGUUUUGUUUGUGAUAGCUUUCUUAUUUUUCAGUGUUUCCAAAAUUUUAAGAUGUACCAUUGCUGAGGAUCAGCUGCCAUGGGGGAGGCUUCAGAUUAAACCAACUGCUGGAAGGUUUAAUUGGUCUGAUACCUAAGGCUUUUGAUCAUUUACUUUGUACAAAUGCAUUUUAACAGUUUGCUGUGCUGUAAGCAUCUCAUAGCUGUUACUAUUGAGAAUCUUGUUUUAAAAAUAUGUUAAGAGGCAUCUUUCCAGUUUAAAGUCUAAGGCCCUGGCCAAGCCUUGACUUUACCUGGACAGAAUGUUUGCCAACAGGUCCAGGUGUUUUCUGUACCAAAUCAGUAUUUGAGUCACUUUUUGACUCAGCAAUUUGACCCUACUAAUAUGACAGCUGGAUCAAUUUUAAAGUGAGCUUGGAGAAUCAUUUCCGGAGGUGAUUAUCCAAUCCUUCACUGAUGAUUUUUGUUUCUGUUUGUUUGUUAAAUAUGAGAUGCUGGUGCAGUGUUUUAGUAAUUAACAGUACUUUUAUAUUACAUAUGUUAUUAAUAAUGUUUAUGAUUUAUUUGAUUUUUAACUGUUAUAAGCUCUUACUAAUUGUCUAUAUGGUUUUGUCUUAAUGUUGAACAGAAGUACAUCUCAUUUUUAUUUUUUUAAGAAAACGGGGGAAAUUGAUACCCUAAAGGCAUUUAAUUAGUGUAAUUCAUUAACUUCAAGGAGAGAAGUGCCUGUGUUUUGUUGACAGGUUCAGGAGGUCGCUUGUCCAUCUGACCAGACUGUGUGCUUCUGAACACACGAGAUCCAGUGAACAGGGAGGUCGCCACACAGCCUUGGUGCUCCAGACAUGGAUCAGAGGCGGACCUGUCAGGACACAGUUGUGUCCAAACACUAUACAGACAGUUGCCAACAGAAACUUUAUGUUGUUAUUAUGAUGUUGUAUCUCUACCAAUUUUUCAGUUAUCCUUUGUUUAAAGAUUUAGAAGGGUCUGAAGAACAACUUGAACAUCAAAACCCUCAGUCACCGAUCAGCUGCCAGCUGACAUCACGGGAGCAGUGAACAUUCCGGGACUGAAUCGUGUUAGAGAAAUUCUGUAGAAGAUCUAAGAAAAGUGUAGAGACUCCAUCUAACUGUAUAUAAAGCAAAUUGUAAUUGUGUGUUUAUUCUUUUAGCAAAUUGCUUUCACACUUAGACUACAUAUAUACCAGAGCACAUGUGUUAAAAGUAGUUAGAUAAUAGCUUAAGGUUAAGUGUUUAGCCUGUGUAGUAAUUGUUAUGUUUGUAUAAAAUAUAAGUAUUUCCCCUUCAAGAGGUAGUGUAAGCAUCUUUGAAAGUUCAUUUAACGUUAAAGUUUUAGCUGUGAGUUUGCAAGUAUGUUGUCAUUUACAUGGUAAGCUGCUUAUAGUAAUUGUGCUGUUUAUAGUCAUAACACCUGAAGCAGUGAGCCCCAACCUUGUGGUACAAGCUGAGAACCCACAAUCUAAUAGUCUAGCCCUUGCGUUUAUACCCAAAUCUUUAACUCCUCUGUUGACUUUUGUGUAUUAGCUGUUAUCAUCCCCAGAGUCCUAUACCACCUGGAUGAAGAGUUGAGCCUGCAAGUGGAGAGACUCACCCGACUUCAGAAAAGAGAAGUGGUGACAGCUGUAACCAUAGCGAUGCUGCUUAACCUGAGAGCAACUGGUGCUGCCACAAGUGUCUCUGCCACUGUGACCCAACAACAGAGACUGUUUCAGCUACAAAUGACAAUUGAUGAAGACUUGCAGAUAAUUGAAAAACUGUGUAUUUUAAAUAAGCUUGUGUCCUUUGUUAAGAACCGACUAGAAAAAGUUAACAUUUUGUUUAUAGAAAGGCAACAGAUGCUUUAAAAAAUAUACUUAGUCACUGCA